rnacentral:rRNA from 1 species
CCUACGGGCGGCAGCAGUGAGGAAUAUUGGUCAAUGGACGGGAGUCUGAACCAGCCAAGUAGCGUGAAGGAUGACUGCCCUAUGGGUUGUAAACUUCUUUUAUAUGGGAAUAAAAUGUUCCACGUGUGGGAUUUUGUAUGUACCAUAUGAAUAAGGAUCGGCUAACUCCGUGCCAGCAGCCGCGGUAAUAUGGAGGAUCCGAGCGUUAUCCGGAUUUAUUGGGUUUAAAGGGAGCGUAGGUGGAUUGUUAAGUUAGUUGUGAAAGUUUGCGGCUCAACCGUAAAAUUGCAGUUGAAACUGGCAGUCUAGAGUACAGUAGAGGUAGGCGGAAUUCGUGGUGUAGCGGUGAAAUGCUUAGAUAUCACGAAGAACUCCGAUUGCGAAGGCAGCUCACUGGACUGCAACUGACACUGAGGCUCGAAAGUGUGGGUAUCAAACAGGAUUAGAUACCCCGGUAGUC